GUGUUUUCCCAUACGGUCAAUGUUAAACUUUUGCCCUGUUUCCAUGACAAUGGCGGCCAUUUUAGAACCUCUUGAUAUUGCAUGCACAUCUAGGCAUAUCAGGUAACACUUCCACAAAGUUUCAUCCACUUGGGUCUUAUAAUGAAGAAUUUAGAAUUUUGAAAAUUUUUCACAUUUUUGCAGUUUCCAUGGAAACGGCAGCCAUCUUGAACCAUUCCAUGGUGCCUGCAACUCUUCACCUAAGGGUCCUCAAUAUAAUAAAGUUCCAUCAACUUUGGUCCUCUGGAUUUCGCAAAAUCUCCUGGACAAAAUGUGUGGAAGAAAAAUAAGAAAAACUAGAUUUGUAAUUGCUAGCAAUAACGAAUGGCACCCUUCCCCCAUUGCCAGGAUAACAGCAGCCAUUUUGAAAAUUCCAAAGUCAAAGACCGGAUUUACACAUGCCUAUUAACAUUUUUGUAAAGUUUUAGAAAGAUUGGAGCAUUUUGAAAAUUUUGAAAUUUUUCGCAUUUUACCAGUUUCCAUGGUAACGGCGGCCAUCUUGGUGGUGCCAACCCUUAUUUGCAAAUCUGCACAUGGUGGUUACCAUUAUUGUAAAGUUCCAUCAGCAUUGGUCCAUACAGUUCCGAGAAUUCGCCUGGACAAAAAAAGUGGAAGAAAAAUAAUAUUAAAAAUAAGA
rnacentral:lncRNA from 1 species